GGAGUUAGCCGGUGCUUCUUCUGUGAGUGAUGUCCUUCCUGCCGGCUAUUAACCCGCAGGCCUUCUUCCUCACUGAAAGUGCUUUACAACCCGAAGGCCUUCUUCACACACGCGGCAUGGCUGGAUCAGGGUUGCCCCCAUUGUCCAAUAUUCCCCACUGCUGCCUCCCGUAGGAGUCUGGGCCGUGUCUCAGUCCCAGUGUGGCUGAUCAUCCUCUCAGACCAGCUACGGAUCGUCGCCUUGGUGAGCCGUUACCUCACCAACCAGCUAAUCCGACAUAGGCUCAUCCGAUAGCGCGAGGCCCGAAGGUCCCCCGNUUUCCCCCGUAGGGCGUAUGCGGUAUUAGCCUGGGUUUCCCCAGGUUAUCCCCCACUACCGGGCAGAUUCCUAUGCAUUACUCACCCGUCCGCCGCUCGCCACCAGGGAGCAAGCUCCCCGUGCUGCCGCUCGACUUGCAUGUGUAGCUGCCGCCAGCGUCAUCUGAGCAUGAUACAACUCUGA
rnacentral:rRNA from 1 species